UCGAGAAUCUUCGGCAAUGGACGCAAGUCUGACCGAGCGACGCCGCGUGUGGGAUGAAGGCCUUCGGGUUGUAAACCACUGUCAGAGGGGAUGAAAUGCCGGUGGGUACUCCCAUCGGUUUGACAUAGCCUCAGAGGAAGGACGGGCUAAGUUCGUGCCAGCAGCCGCGGUAAGACGAACCGUCCAAACGUUAUUCGGAAUUACUGGGCUUAAAGGGUGCGUAGGCGGCGCGGAAAGUUGGGUGUGAAAUCCCUCGGCUUAACCGAGGAACUGCGCUCAAAACUACCGUGCUCGAGGGAGAUAGAGGUGAGCGGAACUUAGGGUGGAGCGGUGAAAUGCGUUGAUAUCCUAAGGAACACCGGUGGCGAAAGCGGCUCACUGGAUCUCUUCUGACGCUGAGGCACGAAAGCUAGGGUAGCGAACGGGAUUAGAUACCCCCGUAGUCC
rnacentral:rRNA from 1 species